rnacentral:rRNA from 1 species
UACAGAGGGUGCGAACGUUGUUCGGAUUUACUGGGCGUAAAGCGCGUGUAGGCGGUCUCGCAAGUCGGAUGUGAAAGCCCAGGGCUCAACCCUGGAAGUGCACUCGAUACUGCGAGGCUAGAGUCCCGGAGAGGAUGGUGGAACUCUCGGUGUAGAGGUGAAAUUCGUAGAUAUCGAGAAGAACACCAGUGGCGAAGGCGACACACUGGCCCGUUACUGACGCUGAGGCGCGAAAGCGUGGGGAGCAAACAGG